AGUGAACGCUGGCGGCGUGCCUAAUACAUGCAAGUCGAACGGAAUUUAAAAGAGCUUGCUCUUUUAAAUUUAGUGGCGCACGGGUGAGUAAUAUAUAGCUAAUCUGCCCCUUGCUGGAGGACAACAGUUAGAAAUGACUGCUAAUACUCCAUACUCCUUUUUACCAUAAGAUAAAUCGGGAAAGAAUUUCGGCAAGGGAUGAGACUAUAUCGUAUCAGCUAGUCGGUGGGGUAACGGCCUACCGAGGCUAUGACGCGUAACUGGUCUGAGAGGAUGAUCAGUCACAUUGGGACUGAGACACGGUCCAAACUCCUACGGGAGGCAGCAGUAGGGAAUAUUGCGCAAUGGGGGAAACCCUGACGCAGCAACGCCGCGUGGAGGAUGACACUUUUCGGAGCGUAAACUCCUUUUGUUAGGGAAGAAUAAUGACGGUACCUAAC
rnacentral:rRNA from 1 species